rnacentral:rRNA from 1 species
UACGAAGGGGGCUAGCGUUGCUCGGAAUCACUGGGCGUAAAGCGCACGUAGGCGGAUCUUUAAGUCAGGGGUGAAAUCCCGGAGCUCAACUCCAGAACUGCCUUCGAUACUGGGAAUCUUGAGUCCGGAAGAGGUGAGUGGAACUGCGAGUGUAGAGGUGAAAUUCGUAGAUAUUCGCAAGAACACCAGUGGCGAAGGCGGCUCACUGGUCCGGUACUGACGCUGAGGUGCGAAAGCGUGGGGAGCAAACAGG